rnacentral:rRNA from 1 species
GAGUAACGCGUAGGCAACCUGCCCUCCGGCCGGGGACAACACUCCGAAAGGGGUGCUAAUACCGGAUACGAAGUCUGUGCCGCAUGGUACGGAUUUGAAAGAUGGCCUCUGUUUACAAGCUAUCGCCGGGGGAUGGGCCUGCGUCCGAUUAGCUGGUUGGUGGGGUAACGGCCUACCAAGGCGACGAUCGGUAGCCGGUCUGAGAGGAUGAACGGCCACAUUGGACUGAGACACGGCCCAGACUCCUACGGGAGGCAGCAGUGGGGAAUCUUCCGCAAGUGGGCGCAAGCCUGACGGAGCAACGCCGCGUGAGUAGGAGGAAGUUCUUCGGAACGUAAAGCUCUGUUGUUCCUGACGAACCUCCCUUCUAUCAACAACGGAGGGGACUGACGGUAGGGAACGAGGAAGCCACGGCUAACUACGUGCCAGCAGCAGC